rnacentral:rRNA from 1 species
CACGGAGUUAGCCGAUCCUUAUUCUUCAAGUACCGUCAACCUCUUACACGUAAGAGGGUUUCUUCCCUGAUAAAAGCAGUUUACAAUCCAUAGGACCGUCUUCCUGCACGCGGCAUGGCUGGUUCAGGCUUGCGCCCAUUGACCAAUAUUCCUUACUGCUGCCUCCCGUAGGAGUCUGGUCCGUGUCUCAGUACCAGUGUGGGGGGUCAUCCUCUCAGAUCCCCUAGUCAUCGUCGCCUUGGUGAGCCGUUACCUCGCCAACUAGCUAAUGACACGCAUGCUCAUCUCUAACCACCGGAGUUUUGAUAAUCAAACAAUGCUGUUCGAUUAUAUUAUGCGGUAUUAAUUCACCUUUCGGUGAGCUAUCCCCCAGUUAGAGGUAGAUUGCAUACGCGUUACGCACCCGUGCGCCACUCUCACAGGGAGCAAGCUCCCUGAUCCCGUUCGACUUGCAUGUAUUAGGCCUGCCGCUAGCGUUCA